AACUUUUAGCAAUGGAUGACUUGGCUCUCGCAUCGAUGAAGAACGCAGCGAAAUGCGAUAAGUAAUGUGAAUUGCAGAAUUCAGUGAAUCAUCGAAUCUUUGAACGCGCCUUGCACCCUUUGGUAUUCCGAAGGGUAUGCCUGUUUGAGUGUGAUUAAAUUCUCAAACCUGCUGGUCUUUAUUGACUAUGUAGGCUUUGGAUGUGGGGGUUGCUGGCCUAACAGUCGGCUCUCCUUAAAUGCAUUAGUGGCUUGUCGAUCCCCAUUCACUUGGUGUGAUAGUAAUAUCUACAUUGAGGAUGGCUAGGUCAUGCUAUGACAACUGCUUUCUAAUCGUCCUUUGGACAAUUUGAACCAUUUGACCUCAAAUCAGGUAGGACUACCCGCUGAACUUAAGCAUAUCAAUAAGCGGAGGCU
rnacentral:misc_RNA from 1 species